CCCGGCCCGCCCGGGGGACCCCGGCCCGCCUCCGUCCCGCCACGCGCCUGGGCCGAGACUCCACGGAGCCGGGGAAGACAAGGUGCCCAGCACCGUCGCAGGCGCUGGGGUAGGUGCCGGAGGACCGGGUUCUCCCCCCGGGAGAGGAGGAGGAGGAGGACAGGCGCUGACCCCCAUGUCGCAGAGGCACAGACAGACGAGGCGAGCGGGCCGGGGGGGUCGGGGCCGGGCCGAGCCCGCAGAUCCCGACGCCCCCCGGGGCCUCGACUCCGUGCGCUAGGCCGCACCGCCCCAGUUCCACUCCCUGCUCGGGCGACCCCGGACGUCGAGGGGCUCCCGCAGACCACGCAGCUCUUCUCGCAGGUAACACGGGCCGGGAUCGACUGUACAGAGAGAGAACUAUGGCUUUGAGAAGCUCGCCUACGUCGUGUCGUCUGAUUAUGGAACAGCAUCGGGGCCGCCGCCGCCGCCGGGAUGGCCUCCGCUCCGCUCGUGAAGAACAGUUCCUGGGGCGGCACGUAUUUACAGACGGAACGGGGCGCGGGGGCAGGCGGGCAGGGCCCGCUCCUCUUAUUUACAGACGGGGCCGGGGCGAGGGGCGAGGACGGCCCCGGCCCCGGCCGCCCCCUCGGCUGUCCCGCCGCCGGCGUGCCCGGGGACUUUCCAGCGGCCGUCGGGUGGCGGGGGAGGGGGCCUCUACCCCGUCCUGACCGAAGCGGGGAAAGCCGG